rnacentral:piRNA from 1 species
GUGUGAUCAAAUAAUAAAGUUGUAAAAAUU